rnacentral:rRNA from 1 species
UACGAAGGGGGCUAGCGUUGUUCGGAAUCACUGGGCGUAAAGGGUGCGCAGGCGGGUUCAUAAGUCAGGGGUGAAAUCCCGAGGCUCAACCUCGGAACGGCCUUUGAUACUGUGGAUCUUGAGUCCGGAAGAGGUGGGUGGAACUGCGAGUGUAGAGGUGAAAUUCGUAGAUAUUCGCAAGAACACCGGUGGCGAAGGCGGCCAACUGGCUCGACACUGACGCUGAGGCGCGAAAGCGUGGGGAGCAAACAGG